GCAGCUCAGUCGGUAGAGGGCACGAGACUCUUAAUCUCGGGGUCGUGGGUUUAAAACCCCACGUUGUUCG